CAGGUCUUCUUGUUCGUUCUCUUUCUUAGAGACAACUUUGCCAGUCUGAAAAUGAGACAACUAAGCCAAGUAGAGGCUCCAGUCAACAGAGAAUGCAUAAACUGGAAGUGGUGCAACAGUAUGGGCCAUGAUUCAUAAUACCCAGACUGUGCUGUAUUCCCAAAAGCUUCAGUAUCUUACACCAAGAUAUCAUCCAUGCAGUUGCAGCAUUCUUCAUAUAAGAGACAACGUUGCCAGUGUGUGACAGCUAAGCCAAGUUGAGACUCCAGUCAAUAGAAGAUGCUUAAACUGGAAGUGGUGCAGUAGUCUGGGUGAGGAUUCAUCAUACCCAGAGUGUGCUGUAUUCCCCUAAGUCUCUCACACCAAGAUAUCAUUCAUGCAGCAUUCCUCAUAUAAGUCUGUGAAUAAGACAACUAAGCCAGGCUGAUGCUACAAUGAACAACAGAUGUCUAAACCGGAACAGGUGCUCUACUGUGGACAAUGACUCAUUAUAGCCUAAAUGAACUGUAUUCGCGAAGGCUAACUCACACUACAUCGACCUAUGCAUGGACAAGUAUUCCACUUACUUCACUUUAAUUUCCUCUUGGAUGCAUCCUUUGCACUUGGACUAUUGGACUAUUACUCUAUGACAACUCCCAACUCUACUACUGUAUUCAAGCUGGCAUGCUAACAAUACAUCUGUUUUAUGUACACUAUAUAAUAAUGUUUAAUCAUACCUGUUAAUGUUUUUAUGGAUUUAAUUUUGCUACUGUCCAAACAAAAUCACAUGUCUCCAAAAUAUUUAGUUUACAGAAAAAAGGAAAAACAAUCCCAAUGUGAAACAAAAUGUAGUCAAAUUGUGUCAUAUUUUACACAAUGAACAUAGAUUGGUAUUUGUCUAAUCAUAAAGAAAUAUGUAUAUAAUAUAAACAGAAGCAGUGGGGAAAAAUAAUCACUGCAGGGGAAAAAUGUUACUAUGUAGGCAGAUGUUUUUUUGUGGACAGCAGUAAUAUUCAUAUAUAUCCUGCACAAAGCUCUAUCAAUUUAUUAUUCAUACCACAAGUUGUUUUAUUAUUUAUUUAUUUUGUGUGUGUGUGUGUGUGUGUGUGUGUGUGUGUUUGGGGG